rnacentral:rRNA from 1 species
UCGCGUGUUUAUCAAAAACAUUGCCAAAAGAAUUCUAUUUAUGGUACAUCCUGCCCAAUGAUAAUUUAAAUGGCCGCGGUAUCCUGACCGUGCAAAGGUAGCAAAAUCAUUUGCCUAUUAAUUGUAGGCCGGUAUGAAAGGAUAAACGAAAUUACAGCUUUCCCCCUCAAAAUCAUAAAAUUUAAUCUCUGGGUGAAGAAGCCCAGAUGCACCCGCAAGACAAGAAGACCCUAUAGAGCUUUACCAUAUUCCCCACACUAAUUCAGUGAGAUACGGUUCGGUUGGGGCAACCUUGGAGAAUCUAAAUCCUCCAAUCAUUAAAUCGACCUACUAGUCUUUACCAGAUCCUUACCUUAAGAUCACAGAAACUAGCUACCUUAGGGAUAACAGGCUAAUUCUCCUAAAGAGUUCUUAUUAACAGGAAAGAUUGGCACCUCGAUGUUGGCUUAGGACCUCUAUAUGAUGCAGCAGUCAUAAUAAGAUGGUUUGUUCAACCAUUAAUAUCCUACGUGAUCUGAGUUCAGACC